UACCUGGUUGAUCCUACCAAUAGUCAUAUGCUUGUCUCAAAUAUUAAGCCAUGCAUGUCUAAGUAUGAACUAAUUCAAACUUUGAAACUGUGGAUGGCUCAUUAAAUCAGUUAUAGUUUCUUUGAUGGUACCCUACUACUCGGAUAACGGUAGUAAUUCUAGAGCUAAUACGUGCACCAAGUCCCGACUCUUUGGAAGGGAUGCAUUUAUUAGAUAAAAGGCCGACGCGGGCUUGUGCGCUUCUUCGGUGAAUCAUGAUAACUUGAUGAAUCACACAACCCUUGUGCUAGCAACGCUUCAUUCAAAUUUUUUCCCUAUCAAAUUUUGAUGGUAGGAUAGAGGCCUACCAUGGUGGUGAUAGGUGAUGAAGAAUUAGGGAUCGAUUCUGGAGAGGGAGCCUGAGAAACGACUACCACAUCCAAGGAAGGCAGUAGGUGUGCAAAUUACCCAAUCCUGACAUGGGUAGGUAGUGACAAUAAAUAAAAAUACUGGUCUCAUCGAGUCUGGUAAUUGGAAUGAGUAUAAUAUAAAUCCCUUAAUGAGGAUCCAUUGGAGGGAAAUUCUGGUGCCAACAGCCAUGGUAAUUCCAGCUCCAAUAGCAUAUAUUUAAGUUGUUGCAGUUAAAAAGCUUGUAGUUGGAUCUUGGGUCAUAAAGGUCGGUCCACCUACUCGAUGUGCACCUGCCAUUCUGUCCCUUUUGCCGGUGACAUGCUCAUGGCCUUAAUUGGUUGGGUCGCGGUUUCGACGUUGUUACUUUGAAAACAUUAGAGUGCUCAAAGAAAGAUUAUGCUCUGAAUACAUUAGCAUGGAAUAACACGAUAGGAUUCUGGUCCUAUUGCGUUGGCCUUUGGGACCAGAGUAAUGAUUAAUAGAGACUGUCGAGGGCAUUCAUAUUUCAUUGUCAGGUGAAAUUCUUGGAUUUAUGAAAGACAAACCACUGCGAAAGCAUUUUCCAAGGAUGUUUUCAUUAAUCAAGAACGAAAGUUGGGGGCUCGAAGACAAUCAAAUAUCGUCCUAGUCUCAACCAUAAACUAUGUCGACUAGGGAUUGGUGAAUGUUGCUCUAAGGACUCUGCUAGCACCUUCUGAGAAAUCAUAGUGUUUGGGUUUUGGGGGGAGUAUGGUCGCAAGGAUGAAACUUAAAGGAAUCGAUGAAAGGGAACCACCAGGAGUGGAGCCUGCAUCUUAAUUUGACUCAACACAGGAAAACUAACCAGGUCCAGACAUAGUAAGGAUUGACAGAUUGAGAGCUCUUUCUUGUUUCUACGGGUGGUGGUGCAUGGUCGUUCUUAGUUGGUGGAGCGAUUUUUCUGGUUGAUUCUGAUAACGAUCGAGACCUCAGCCUACUAACUAACUACGUGGAGGUUCCCCUUUGUGGCCAACUUCUUAGAGGGACUAUGGUCAUUUAGGCCAUGGAAGUUUGAGGCAAUAACAGGUCUGUGAUGCCCUUAGAUGUUCUGGGCCGCACGCAUGCUACACUAAUGCAGUCAAUGAGUUUUUCUCCCUGGUUCGAGAGGAUCGAGAAAUCUUCUCAAAUUGCAUCGUGAUGGGGAUAUACCAUUGCAAUUAUUGGUCUUCAACGAGGAAUUCCUAGUAAGCGCGUGUCAUCAGCUCGUGUUGACUAUGUCCCUUCCCUUUGUACACAUCGCCCAUCACUCCUACCGAUUGAAUGAUCCGGUGAAGUGUUCAAUUGCAUCAACAAGGGUGGUUCACCGCUGACGAUGUCGUGAGAAGUUCACUGAACCUUAUCAUUUAGAGGAAGGAGAAGUCGUAACAAGGUUACCAUAGGUGAACCUGCGGUAGGAUCAUUG
rfam:Picea glauca, whole genome shotgun sequence.